GACAGAGGGGGCAAGCGUUGCUCGGAAUUACUGGGCGUAAAGGGCUCGUAGGCGGCCAACUAAGUCAGACGUGAAAUCCCUCGGCUUAACCGGGGAACUGCGUCUGAUACUGGAUGGCUUGAAUCCGGGAGAGGGAUGCGGAAUUCCAGGUGUAGCGGUGAAAUGCGUAGAUAUCUGGAGGAACACCGGUGGCGAAGGCGGCAUCCUGGACCGGCAUUGACGCUGAGGCGCGAAAGCCAGGGGAGCAAACGGGG
rnacentral:rRNA from 1 species